UGGUCAAUAUGUUCAAAAUUUGAGUAUCAAAUUAUGCUUUCCCUACAAAAUAUAUUUGAAAAAUCUGUAUGUUCUACAGUUUACACUCAGAAACUCAAUAAAUGAGAUCGGAGGUGCUAUACUAUCUACAAGUAUAUAGAUUGUUCAGGCGCGAAGUGAUUUCAUUGAAUGUGUCCACUGAGCAAGGAAUGGUAAGACCUCCUUCCGGAUGAUUGAAUCCAAAUUCUUCCUCGGCUUGACUUAACAAAUCUUGAAAGGCAGGCUCAUUCAGGUAUGAAAUGGGUACCACAAAUCGGCUUCUUUGCCUCUCCCCAAUAUAAACUGCCAAGCACCCCUUUGGAAUCGUUGAAGUAAGAUCAGGAUUUAAUAAGAAAGAUGAGCGGUUAAGGAUUUGUUUGAGAGUAGUAAUACGAGGCAUACGGAUACCCAUGACACUAUAGAUCUUUCAGAGAAGAAUUCAGGAAAGUGAAGAAAAACUGGGACUUGUAUAGUUUUAAGGAAAAGACUUUAGACCAGUGAGUUUGUGAUGAAUGUUAGUAUCGCUUAAUUAUGUGUUUAUAUAGAACAAUCAGAAGUUGUGUAGAACAUGUCAUCAAAUUGUACAUUGAGCGGUAAGUAGGCAUUAGACACUAGCACAUGCAGAUUUAACAUGAAGUUUUGAGUGGCAUGAUAUGGAUUUUAUGUUUUGGGUUUGUCUGCACUGAUUAUGGAGGGGUUGAAAUAAUAAGUGUUCAUGUGCCAUUGUUUUUUCCAGCUCCAAGUUGAUAUUUUCACAUAACGAAGCUAGACCAUGUCGAAGAUGUUGGGUCCAUUUAAUCUGAUAAUCUGUUUCAAAGAGAUAUAUUCAUACACUCACCUGGAGUUUUCUACUACAUGAUACAUCAAUUUAACAAAAGAUGCAGCUGAGAUAGGUCAAGAAAACACCAUCACAUGAGCACCAAACUUGCCUAUCCCACCUAGGACUAUUGACCAAUAAAAGCAUGAGAUUUGAUUUUUUGCCUGUCGAUAUAACAACUUGUAUGAUUCCCAGAGCAGAUAUGGGACAAACCAUUAUGAUCUGUUUCUUUCGUGGAUAUAACAACUUGUAUCAGGUGUUUCCUACUGCACAAAAAAUAAAUAGCUAGGAUAGGUGAAUGAAAACACUAUCACAUGAGCACCUAACUUGUCUGUCCCACCCAGAACUACUGACCACAAAAACUAACAACUUGAAUUUGCUACCUUGCUUGCCAGGCAAAUUAUUUGUACCGUGUUCAUAUCCGUAUAUAUUACGUUAUAGACUAUCAGUAGGACAUGAUGUCUCUCAGAAGACAUUCAAGUCCUAGCAUUACUCUUAAAUAUGUGUGGCCUUUGAAAGAGAAUAGCAUGUGCUAUUGCCUAAUGCAUCUGUUCCACUCAAUCUGCAUCUUCAUCACCCGCUCAUUACUUGUUAUUUCUAUAUAAAAACUGUGAUCUCCUCAACCAAAUUCAUCAAAAAAUCAAGUCUAAUUAAGGGUCUAAGCCUAGCAUCUGCAGAAGUUCUUUUAUUUUCCAUAUCCCCAGAGAUUAUCCGUCGAAUUUUCAAUUUUCCUUGAGCAUCAUGGGUAUUCGUGUGCCUCAUAUCACUAACCUCAAGCAAAUUCUCAACAGACAAUUUUCCUUGAAAAAUCUUGAUCGUAGUACAAAUGUCCCUAAGGGAUGUAUUGCAGUUUAUGUUGGGGAGGACCAAAGAAGAAGAUUUGUAGUUCCGAUCACUUACUUAAACGAGCCUACGUUCCAAGACCUGUUAAGUCAGGCUGAGGAAGAAUUCGGGUUUAGUCAUCCAGAAGGCGGCCUCACAAUUCCAUGCAAAGAAGACACCUUCAUUGAUAUCUUGAACAGAUUAUGAGAGUUUAUAUAUAUGUUGUUAGAUAGUGUGCAAAUUUUGUAAACUAGUCCAGAAAUUUUAUAUAUGACUCUGAUAUAAAUCUUUUAGGUAGGACAUUAGCUGAUACUUUGUAAUUUGAUUACAUCAAUUUCUACAUGGAUUUGAUCUCUGCAAUCAUUAUGUAGUCAUCACACAUCUUUAUAAGUACUUUUUAUUGUCAAUCACAAAUGUAAUUGUUCAAGAGAAGAGCAAUUUCCAUGUAGUGAAGACAUUCGUUAACCUCACUUUACUCUUGCGCAAAAAUAAGAAACAAACAGCAUCCAUUUGAUAAACUAGGGAAGAUUAGAGUAACCAUCUAUUUUUUACACAGAAAUAGUAUUUUUUACAAAUCAGUGAAGGAUUUCUUUUGCUUAGUUAAUUAGUGUCUAUCUAUUUAUACAUAUUGCUAUCCUGGAAUUACCCAGAUCUUUUUGGAUGGAUGUUAAGAACAUGUUUAUUCAAUUUCACUCUAACUGUUGACAGACUCAACCCUCCAAUUUUAGUUGUGCAGGUUUUUUGUAGUCUUCAUGUUUCGUUCCAUUUUUUUUUCCAUUCUAGUACCUAAAGGAUAAUAUCAAACCUGUCUGCAUUCAAUAAUCAUUGCAUCUGAAAUUUGCUGUUUUUAUUAAGAACAUCAUCUGUAGGUUCUGGGUAUACAAGUUUAACUUUCCAACUCUGACCAGACCAGUGGCGGAACCAGAGGGGGGCUAGGGGAUGCUAGAGCCCCCCCUAACCUCGAAAAAACAAUGUAUAUUUUUUUUUCCAGCCUCCGCUGAAUUAGUGUGAUGUUAGUAUUAUUUUUUGAGCCCCCGCUCAAUUAUAAAUGUCAUAGAGAGGGACUUAUUGGAAAAAAUGAAAAGAAAAGGCACUUAGUCUAAAGAGAGUCUAAUUAACAAAUGGAAAAUGCUAGAUGCGCAGAAUUGGGUACAAAAACAUUCAUAGAAUGAUUAUGUGUUAACUUGUGAUUGGAUUGGGCCCCCCUGCACAUGCAUCAAGAGCACUAAUUAAAACUUCUUAACUCAAUUGCCAAGUCAUUUUGUGCAUAAUUAUGUACCCAAUUUUGUGCAUAUAGCAGUACUCUUAACAAAUACAUUCAAACUGAGAGCAACUUCAACAAACUCCUUAACUUUUCUCUACAAAUAAUAAACAAUCAGCUCUUAAAUAUUUAAGAAGUAAAUUACACAAUAUUCCCUACUUGCGCUCUCUAUCUAUAUCUGCUAGGACCUUGUUGGAAUUCAUUUCAUCUCCAUAUUCUUCAAAUUUAGGCUAAAGAGCCCAUAUUUGCUCUUUGGAUCCUAUGACUUAAUUUUCUGCCUUUCACAAUUUUAUCCAAAAGAUAUCUCUUUACUAGACCUGGAGUUGUUAUCAAAUGAGUUAGACAGGUUAAUCUAUGAUGUGAGAGCGGAUAAAGAUUAAUCUGGAUUUCAAAGUAUAUGAAAUCUUUCUAUCGUGAUGGUUAAGGCACACAGACACACUACUUAUCCCUUAGCUUAUCUUUUCAGUUUAACUUCUGGUUGAGUUAACUCUAGUUUUACCCGUUGUCAUUGCUAUUGUUGAGAGAGUUUUUUCUGCUAUAAAAACAAUCAAGACUUAUCAGCGUGAUAGGAUGGGAGAUGCAUGACUGAAUGAUAGUAUGAUGAUAUAUAUUGAGAAAGCUAUUUAUGCAAGUAUAAAUGAAAAAAUAUUUCAGUCCCCCCUAACUUUUAUUCUUGGUUCCGCCACUGGACCAGACUUGACAUUUACAGUUUAAAUCUGCUGUCUCAUUGUAAGUAGAAAAUCUCCUAGAUGCCUAAAAUCUAAGGAAGAGCCUGCAGUUUUCAGAUCAACUCCAGAAGCAGAAUAUAGGGCUGUUACUGCUGCUGAAGUAACCUGGAUGAUUAGACUGCUUAAAGAUAUGGGAGUUUUGCAGAUUCUGGCCUUUUUAUUUCUUUUCUAUGCCGUGUAAUAGUUUAUCUCGAUCAAUAUAAUAGCUGCAUGAUCUCUUUUCAAACAUAUAUGCACAAUCUCAACUUGUAACAUCACAUGAAAUAUAUAUUUCAUAUUACAGAACUCUAACAAUCUCCAUUUGGAGCCAGUAUAAUCUCAACCUAUCGAUAUGCUGCUGUCAAUAUGAAUCAACUCCAGAACUAGCAAACACCAAAUCCACUUCUUUCAUCAAUGAAAAAUGUGGAUGGCAAUAGUCUCAGAGAGAUAAUGAAUCUCGGGAAGCAAGUGAUAAGGAGAUUUCAAAGUCCCUGCCUAAAUAGAAUUUGCUUUAUAUUACAUGCAAAAGUUACUGAUUUGAGUAUCAAAUUUUUUCGUUCUAUAUAUUGAUCUCUCUUUUUUGUCAGGCGUUCUAUAUAUUGAUCUUGAUCUAUAAGAAUAAGCUAUGAUUGAUAUAAUCUGGUAAUUUUAGAUCCAACAAAAUGGUGAGUAUCAAAUUAUGCGUUGCAAACAAAAAUCUGAUGAAAAUCCCUAUUCUACUAUAUACAUUCCAAUGCUGUACUAUCUACCUGUACAUAAAUGUUUUCUCACUAUAAUCUAUCCAGGCGUGAAGUAAGGUGAAUGAAUGUUUCCACUGAGCACGGAAUAGUGAGGCCGCCUUCUGGUUGGCUGAACCCAAAUUCUUCCUCGGCUUGAUUUAACAAGUCUUGGAAGGCAGGAUCAUUCAGGUAUGAAAUGGGAACCACAAAUCUUCUUCUUUGCUUCUCCCCAAUAUAUACUGCCAAGCAACCCUUUGGAACUGUUGAAGUAUAAUCAGGACUUAUCAAGAAAGAUGACGGGUUAAGGAUU
rnacentral:lncRNA from 1 species